UACGUAGGGCGCAAGCGUUGUCCGGAUUCACUGGGUGUAAAGGGUGCGUAGGCGGGAGAGUAAGUCCGCGGUGAAAUCUCACGGCUCAACCGUGAAACUGCCGUUGAUACUGCUUUUCUUGAGUUCGGGAGAGGUUGAUGGAAUUCCAGGUGUAGCGGUGAAAUGCGUAGAUAUCUGGAAGAACACCAGUGGCGAAGGCGGUCAACUGGCCCGACACUGACGCUGAGGCACGAAAGCGUGGGGAGCGAACAGG
rnacentral:rRNA from 1 species